AAACCAUUUCAAACCGUGUAUUCAAAUCCCCCCCCCCCCCCUCUCAGCCCUGUUUCUCUUCUCUGCAAUCCACCCAAAACCAACAAUCUCUCUCUCUCUCCACACCGAGCCACCAAUCUCACGCUAUCUCGCCAAACCCACCCACCGACCUACCAAUCUCACUGAAUCUCCUUCCGUCUCCCUCUGGAUUCAUCGGUACAGAGCAGAAUUGGUUGGAGGAUGCUGUGCACCUAUCUCACCAUAAAUCAAAGGGGAAACCCCGUAGCGAAUUCACCGGGUUUGAAAUGAUGCAUAGUGGCUUUCAGUGCAAUGAAGCGUCAACGAGCAAAGCAGAGAGGGGCUUCAUCGUAAGCCGAUGCCCAGUGCCUUAAAUUUCAGGUCGACUAUCGCUGACUAAUCUCCUAUCAAAGUUUGAGGAUUUCUUUUCUAUUGAAGGAGAUAUUGUAGAAGAACAAUUCGCUUCACUCUUUCGGUUGUCGUGCAUUCUCCUAGAUGGAGGCAUUAGACAAAGACUUUUGAGAGGCAUAUUGAGACGUAUUUUGGAUAGCCGUAUUGAGAAGCAUUUGAGGAAUUUUUUAGAGGCAUGUUGAAGACUUUUGAACUUAAAUACAACUCAAGUACAUGAAUUGCGAGGCUUCCGAUCCGUAAGUCUGAAACUACCUUAUUACGCAUUUGGCUAGUGUGCUUAGAUGUACUUAUGUUGUUAAAUGUAGAGCAUUGGCUGGUGUGCUUAGAUUUGCUCUUAUGUUGUUACAUGCAAACCAUUGACCGGUGUGUUUAGAUCUUGAGCCUGAUUUAGUUAAUGCAGAGGAUUGGCUGGUGUGCAUUUUUAAAUGUUGGAUGGAUGGUGUUUUUUGUUUUAUCAAGUCUUAUGUGUUUUGAUGGGGAGAGGAAAGCUGUUAGGGAUUUUAAGAGAGGGAAGGGGAAGCUAGGGAGAUCAUAUGUUAAGUUCAUAACUAUUUACACAGAGAGAUAUGAAAAAAGAUUACGUAUUUUCUGGCUCAUCUAUUUAAUUGUUUGAUUCAUUGAUAUUGUAGUUGAAUUUUGGGGACUUCAUUAAGCCUCCUGGGAUGGGGUGUCCAACUUGAGCUCCUACUUUAUUUUCCUUCAAAGGAAACUGAUUUAUGCUCCUAUUUCGGACUUGACACCAUAACGGGGGUGUUGAAUUUUAAAAUUUAGUGUAUGUAUUCAUGUCCUUUUUGUGGAAUCAAUAGUAGGGAAGAGUGGUUUAGUUUAAUUGUGUUAAGAACACGUCGCGUCGUGCCUUUGGGUAUGGACAAUUCAUAGAACACAAGCUUUAACUCUAGAGAAUUGAUGCUCCAUUGCAAAGGGAUAUUCAUAUAACAACCACAUUCCUUAAAACCAAGUUUUGUAUAUCUGUCGGGUAAAGCUUAGUAGAAUAGGGUGUGGGAAGUUAUGAGAUUUUCUUGAAAAAAUUAACCUAAUUUGGUUAGGUGAUUCACCAACACUCCUAGAGAUUGCCAUAUCCGUUUUAGACACUCCAAAUACACUAGACACAUCGAGAACAUGUACGUGUCCAUUGGUGAUUGGUUGUGCAGGAUGAUAAUUCAGGUGAUCCAUUACGUAUAGGGUUUUGGUAAAUAUGAUGUAGACUCGCCCUUGCAGACAAAUUCCACGGAAUUUUUGAGAGUGAGCAGAAUAGGUUUCAAAGUUGGGGUAAGGUUUGGGCCUUGGUUUUGCCUUCCAAGUUUCAGUUAUUCAUGAUUUGGAAAGUGAUCCACCGUAUUCUUGCAAUGAAAGAUGCUUUUUUGAGGAGAAAGGUUAGUAUUGACCCAGGCUGUCCCUUUUGUGGACAGGAGCUAGAAACAAUUGAGCAUCUAUUUCUUAAUUGUGAUUUUACGAGGAGAGUUUGGAGGGCUUCUCAUUUGGGCUUUGACUUCUCUAUAGGGAAACCUAUUGGAUUUACUGCGUGGUUUGACGGUUGGAUCAAGCAUGCCCUGGAUAAAGAGUUGAUUCAGGAGUCCAUACUUAUUAUGUGGUCGAUUUGGUGUAUGCAUAAUGAUGUGUUGUUCAAAUCGGCCAAGGCUGAGGUUGAUAGUGUGUUAAAACUGUUUUUCCGGACUAUUAUCUUCAUGCAGGGAAGCACUUGGGAAGCAUAGUUCUAAGGAUUUUGAUUCCGGUAGUGUGGUCACGGAUAAGGCCAAGGCAUGCAACUUCAGUUAUGCUUUUGUUACAGGAAGGAUGGUAUGGAGGUGGAUCAUGGGAUCUCUUUUGUCACAGAUGGUGCUUGGAUUGCGGGCUCAAAUAGUGGAGCUGCGGCUUGGGUUUUGGAAUCAAGUGGGGGGCCGGCUGUUCAUCAGUCUAUUACGUGUCUUGCUUCCUCAACUUCUGCAAUGGAAGUCCAAGCAGGAUUAUUGGUGCUGGAAUGGGCUAUUAAGGAGAACCUGGAGAGACUUUGUAUUAAGAUAGAUUGUGCUGUGUUUGUGCAAGGAUUGAAGGAUCCUUGUAGUGUUCCUUUUUGUAUUCGCACUGUUCUUGCAGAUUUUCAUUCGUUAUGUUCUUAUUUUAGUAUUGUAAAGGUUAUUAAGGUACCUAGACAUUAGGUACAGGUUGCUCAUGCCAAGGCAAGGGCGGCCUUACCGCGAUUGUAAUGUUUGUUUAUUGUAAUAUAUCUGUGUUUUAUGGCUGAUCAAAAAUAAAAUAAAAGAUGGAAGGAAGCUUCAUUAUACAA